CUGGCUGAUCAAGAAGCAGGGGGCUCUCCACCAAACCCUAGCUCUCACUAAAAUUGAUCAAUUGAAGGUUUAAUUCAGCCCAAAUCUAAAUCUAAACACGAAUUAGUGAUCACCUCACUGAAAGGAUCACAAGGCAAAGAAUCCGGAACGUCAAGCGGACACGCCGGGGGAGAUACGCGCUUGAAGGGUGUGCUCUAAAGUUUUCAGGUAUUGCAAGUAUGUGGACGAUGAUCAAGUUGAUGCUCCAAGAACCGAUGUUACACCCUAACAUGUAAUAGCUUUAAAAUG